rnacentral:misc_RNA from 1 species
UUGGCCAGACGGUAAAAGGCAUCACGAAAACACAUUCGAGUCUUAUCUGUCAACUGUGCCAUCACCAUUGCUAGCUCCUGUAAAACAGUUUCUUCAAGAGAUGUUUCCUCAUCCACAUGUUCAUUCAAACCUUUAUGCUCAGAAGGGGCCAAGACUUUUAUCAGUGAUGCCUUUAACAAUGGGCAAUUCUUUUGCUCUGAAUUGGAUGGAAUAAACGGCGGAGAAGCAGAAACUUUGCCUUCCUCUGGAUCCAAUUGAUGGAGAAAAUGCAUGUGUUUUGAGAUACUUAGAGCUUCCCAUGCUAUAUGCGUCACUGGAAAUUCUUAGUGCAUCUAAAAUUGAGUAUGUCGAGAUAUUAUC